CUUUAACAAGGGAGAGCGAUUAUUGAGAAGCAAUUUUCGUUUCUAACAAACUUGGGGGCUCGUCCGAUCAACACUCCGGCCGCGAGGGGGGCUGAGG